rnacentral:ncRNA from 1 species
CAUCGUGAGGUGGAAUCUGAAGGAAGAUGGAGGCAAAACUCCGGUCUGACGAACAGAAAUCAUAUCAGGCUAAGCACAGGGGUAAGACUGCAAUACAAGCCGAAGCCCAAUAACUGUACGGAACUGUGUAUAGUAAAUAUGGCAGAUAUAU